ensembl:miRNA microRNA 378c
UAUACUGGACUUGGAGUCAGAAGCCUUGGGUUUGAGAACUGGGCUAGCCUCUCAUUAGUUGGGUGUGUUAAACCCAACAUGUAGUCUAUCUGAUAUGGA